AACGAACGCUGGCGGCAUGCCUAACACAUGCAAGUCGAACGAGACCUUCGGGUCUAGUGGCGCACGGGUGCGUAACGCGUGGGAACCUGCCCUUAGGUUCGGAAUAACUCCCCGAAAGGGGUGCUAAUACCGGAUAAUGUCUUCGGACCAAAGAUUUAUCGCCUUUGGAUGGGCCCGCGUUGGAUUAGCUAGUUGGUAGGGUAAAAGCCUACCAAGGCGACGAUCCAUAGCUGGUCUGAGAGGAUGAUCAGCCACACUGGGACUGAGACAGGGCCCAGACUCCUACGGGAAGCAGCAGUGGGGAAUAUUGGACAAGGGGCGAAAGCCUGAUCCAGCAAUGGCGCGUGAGUGAUGAAGGCCUUAGGGUUGUAAAGCGCUUUUAGCCGGGAUGAGAAUGACAGUACCGGGAGAAUAAGCUCAGGCUAACUCCGUG
rnacentral:rRNA from 1 species